rnacentral:rRNA from 1 species
CCUACGGGAGGCUGCAGUGGGGAAUAUUGCACAAUGGGCGCAACCCUGAUGCAGCGACGCCGCGUGAAGGAAGAAGUCUUUCGGUAUGUAAACUUCUAUUAGCAGGGAAGAAAAUGACGGUACAUGACUUAGAUGACCCGGCUAACUACGUGCCAGAAGCCGCGGUAUUACGUGGGGGGCACGCGUUAUCCGGGUGUACUGGGUGUGUAGGGAGCGUAGGCGGGGAUGCAAGUCAGAUGUGAAAGCCCGGGGCUCAACCCCGGGAUUGCUUUUGAAAACGUGUUGCUUGAUUGCAGGAGAGGUAAGUGGAAUUCGUUGUGUAGCGGUGAAAUGCGUAGAUAUUAGGAGGAACACCAGUGGCGAAGGCGGCUGACUGGACUGUAAAUGACGCUGAGGCGCGAAAGCGUGGGGAGCAAACAGGAUUAGAUACCCGAGUAGUC